rnacentral:rRNA from 1 species
UACGUAGGGUGCAAGCGUUGUCCGGAAUUAUUGGGCGUAAAGAGCUCGUAGGCGGUCAGUCGCGUCUGCUGUGAAAACUCGGGGCUUAACUCCGGGCCUGCAGUGGGUACGGGCUGACUAGAGUGCGGUAGGGGAGACUGGAAUUCCUGGUGUAGCGGUGAAAUGCGCAGAUAUCAGGAGGAACACCGGUGGCGAAGGCGGGUCUCUGGGCCGUAACUGACGCUGAGGAGCGAAAGCGUGGGGAGCGAGCAGG